CCUACGGGAGGCAGCAGUGGGGGAUAUUGCACAAUGGGGGAAACCCUGAUGCAGCGACGCCGCGUGGGCGAAGAAGUAUUUCGGUAUGUAAAGCCCUAUCAGCAGGGAAGUAGAAAUGACGGUACCUGACUAAGAAGCACCGGCUAAAUACGUGCCAGCAGCCGCGGUAAUACGUAGGGUGCAAGCGUUAUCCGGAUUUACUGGGUGUAACGGGAGCGCAGGCGGCACGGCAAGCCUGAUGGGAAAGCACGCGGCCCAACCGCGGGACUGCAUUGGGAACUACCGGGCUGGAGGGCCGGAGAGGUAGGCGGAAUUCCUAGUGUAGCGGUGAAAUGCGUAGAUAUUAGGAGGAACACCAGUGGCGAAGGCGGCCUACUAGACGGUGACUGACGCUGAGGCUCGAAAGCGUGGGGAGCAAACAGGAUUAGAUACCCGUGUAGUC
rnacentral:rRNA from 1 species